AGAGUUUGAUCCUGGCUCAGGAUGAACGCUGGCGGCGUGCCUAACACAUGCAAGUCGAGCGAAGCGCGCCCCGGAAUCCUUCGGGAGGAAGGGUCGCGACUGAGCGGCGGACGGGUGAGUAACGCGUGGGCAACCUGCCCCAUACAGGGGGACAACGGCCGGAAACGGCCGCUAAUACCGCAUGAUUCCUCUUGGCCGCAUGGCCGGGAGGGGAAAGCCGAGACGGUAUGGGAUGGACCCGCGUCUGAUUAGCUGGUUGGCGAGGUAACGGCUCACCAAGGCGACGAUCAGUAGCCGGCCUGAGAGGGCGACCGGCCACAUUGGGACUGAGACACGGCCCAAACUCCUACGGGAGGCAGCAGUGGGGAAUAUUGCACAAUGGGGGAAACCCUGAUGCAGCGACGCCGCGUGAAGGACGAAGUAUUUCGGUACGUAAACUUCUAUCAGCAGGGAAGAAAAUGACGGUACCUGACCAAGAAGCCCCGGCUAACUACGUG
rnacentral:rRNA from 1 species